rnacentral:lncRNA from 1 species
UGAUUUUAGGACAACCUUAUAUUAUGGCAACACGGAUGGAAACAAAAAUACUUGACGAUGGUUCUGCUUAUGCAAGGGUACGGAGCGAAGAUGGGAGGAAAGCUGUACAAUUUCUAACAGUACCUCCUAACCAUGAACGGAAUCGAGAUAGGUUGAGGGAGAAACCAUUGCCAAAGAUUGUUGAAGGAUUUAAGGAUUUUGGGGAGGUACCAUUGUAAAGCGAGAUUAUGGAGGUACAAAAGAAGAGGUACUCUCACGUGAUGAAGGUGCCUUUGAUGCGAGUUUUAUUGGUAUUUUGGAGAUUGAAAAUAUUAUGUAUAAGAAAGUUGAUGAUUUUAAAAGAAAAAAAAAAUAUUAUAUAAUAUUGAAGGAGAAUUACGCAAGUUAGAUAUAUUGCAAGAUGAUGAGAGGAUUUUAGGUGUUUAUGAAGAAAAUGGACUGGAAGAUUCAUUGGAAUUGAUUACAUCUAUUGGGUUAGGGGAUAAUGAUAAGAUUGUUGAGAUUCAUUCAAGAGAGGUUUAUACCAUGCUUGAAUCUUUUCAAGCACCAGAAGUCACUAUAGAGACGAGAUAUAA